CCUUAAUGGGGAGGGUCCGCUCAAGUAACGGCUGGGAGUCGGCGAUUCAGGUGUGGGAAUCGCCGAUCCAGAGGUUCAAUCGCCGACUCCCCAUGAGCCUAGUGGAAGCCUACCAGAACUGUCCGCGAGGCCUAGAGUCAGCGAUUCACCCCUGGAGUCGGCGACUUGGUAGUCCCAAUCGGCGACUCCCAGGUGCUGCCUUGAGUACUUGACGUAGACACUCCUUCCGGAUUCGUGGAACUCUCCGGGGGUCCGGCAGCAAGUGACGGAACCCUAGUUCUUGUCGAAGGGCGUUGCUGGGAGUGACUGACGUGUUCAGGCAUGUCUCACCAGUACUCCCCCCUGAAGAGAGCAUGGCAAACACCCGUGUAGCCUCAGUCUCCCCCCCCCGAGCAAGAUAGUACGUGUGGUCCAUAUCAGAUGGACUGAUUCACCCCUGAAUCUAGUCAUUGUGCCCACAGCGACACUAAUGACUCCGCGUGGUCCAUGCAUUAUCAGAUGGACUGAUUCAUUAUCAGAAUCUAGUUCCAGGCCAACGGAACUACAUGUUUAUAGUCUUACUCUGAUCAAGAGCGACUUUUGCUGUGUGGAUCUUUGCCGAAGCAACAGAUCGCGUGGAUUCACUUUUGGAAUCUGAUUCUGGCUGAAGCAACAGAAUGCGUGGAUUCGUUAUCCGAAUCGGGUUCUGGCCGAAGCUCAGAUCGAGUGGAUUCACCAUUUGGAAUCUGAUUCUGGCCGAAGCAAUCUGAUCAAGAGCGACUUUUGCUGUGUGGAUCUUUGCCGAAGCAACAGAUCGCGUGGAUUCACUUUUGGAAUCUGAUUCUGGCUGAAGCAACAGAAUGCGUGGAUUCGUUAUCCGAAUCGGGUUCUGGCCGAAGCGCAGAUCGAGUGGAUUCACCAUUGGAAUCUGAUUCUGGCCGAAGCAACAGAAUGCGUGGAUUCGUUAUCCGAAUCGGGUUCUGGCCGAAGCGCAGAUCGAGUGGAUUCACCAUUGGAAUCUGAUUCUGGCCGAAGCAACAGAAUGCGUGGAUUCGUUAUCCGAAUCGGGUUCUGGCCGAAGCGCAGAUUGAGUGGAUUCACCAUUGGAAUCUGAUUCUGGCCGAAGCAACAGAAUGCGUGGAUUCGUUAUCCGAAUCGGGUGUUUAUAGUCUACCCUGAUCAAGGGCGACUUUUUGUCCGCAACGACGGUUACCCCAUAGGCCGAAGCGCAAAAUGGGUCGAGAUCAUUAAGGUCAAAUGACAAAAAUGAUCUCCAAAUGUUUGAAGAACCAUUGAAGCCAAAGCGACAACAUAGUUCUUGGUUUGAUUCUGGCCGAAGCAGCAGAAUGCGUGGAUUCUGGCCGAAGCAACAGAAUCGUGCCUGCAAAACAAAAAACAACCUGCAAAACAACUAUAUCAGUCUAAAGGAUAUAUUAAUUGAUCUACUGACCUUGCCGUGCGGAGCUGCCUCUCAUGCUGCUCCUUAUCCCUGAUUGAUCUGUCCGGAGUGACAGAUCUAUCAUGCUCAAAAAUGUGACAGCUUCUGGCCGAAGCAACAGAAGUGCCGACUCAGCAUUAGAGUCUGAUUCUGGCCGAAGCGACAGAAUGCAUGGAUUCACCUUUGGAAUCUGAUUCUGGCCGAAGCAACAGAAUGCGUGGAUUCGUUAUCCGAAUCGGGCUCUGGCCGAAGCGCAGAUCGCGUGGAUUCACCAUUGGAAUCUGACUCAUUACCAGAGUCUGGUUCACUGUUAGAACCUUGUGAUGUGACGACUUCCAUCCUAUGGACAGAGGUGUCGGGAGAGCUUGUGAUACUCCCCCUCGAAAUGUGACGACUUCCAUCCUAUGGACAGAAGUGUCGGGAGAGCUUGUGAUACUCCCCCUCGAAAUGUGACGACUUCCAUCCUAUGGACAGAAGUGUCGGGAGAGCUUG
rnacentral:lncRNA from 1 species